AGAAAGUUACGGAACUAUAGCGAAAUUUAAAAUAUAUACAUGUAUACAUUGAACAUAAGAAAGAAACAUACAUUUUGUGUAAAUUGGGGUAAUAGUUUUGUAAAUAGACUAGUCCACGUAUGCCAACAGUAUGUAAUCAACGAAUUCGAUAGACUAUUGUAUACCAAAAGAAGAAGAAGAAGAAGAAGAAGAAGAAGAAGAAGAAGAAGAAGAAGAAGAAGAAGAAGAAGAAGAAGAGAACCAAUUUGAUUUAAAUACAGGUCGAUAUAUAACUUGCUUUGGUUCAUCGAAGUUAUGAACAUAGUUAAAUCACAGAUUUAUAUAUCAAUUAGAUUGUUCUCGAAUAAAGGAAGACAUUCGUCAUCAUCACAAUUGUUCCGAC
rnacentral:lncRNA from 1 species